rnacentral:tRNA from 1 species
GGUGGCAUAGUGGUUAUGAGUUUGGCUGCUAACCAAAAGGUCUGCAGUUAGAAUCUGCCAUGCACUU